rnacentral:rRNA from 1 species
GAGUUUGAUCCUGGCUCAGGAUGAACGCUAGCGGCAGGCCUAAUACAUGCAAGUCGAACGGUCGGUAGCAAUACCGAUAGUGGCGCACGGGUGCGUAACGCGUAACCAACCUACCCUUGACUGGGGGAUAGCCCGCCGAAAGGCGGAUUAAUACCGCAUAAAACUGCAGAACGGCAUCGUUUAACAGUUAAAGAUUUAUUGGUCAAGGAUGGGGUUGCGUGCCAUUAGCUAGUUGGGGGGGUAACGGCCCACCAAGGCGACGAUGGCUAGGGGAGCUGAGAGGCUGGUCCCCCACACGGGCACUGAGAUACAGGCCCGACUCCUACGGGAGGCAGCAGUAGGGAAUAUUGGGCAAUGGCCGAGAGGCUGACCCAGCCAUGCCGCGUGCAGGAUGAAGGCUUUCUGAGUCGUAAACUGCUUUUACCAGGGAAGAAAAAAGGGGAUGCGUCCCCUACUGACGGUACCUGGUGAAUAAGCACCGGCUAACUCCGUGCCAGCAGCCGCGGUNAUACGGAGGGUGCAAGCGUUGUNCCGAUUUAUUGGGUUUAAAGGGUUGCGUANGCGGCCGAUUAAGUCUUGGGGUGAAAGCCCGUUGGCUCAACAACGGAACUGGCCCCGAAACUGGGUUGGGUUUGAGUUACAAACNAAGGGUUGGCGGAAAUGGAACGG